rnacentral:rRNA from 1 species
UACGUAGGGUGCAAGCGUUGUCCGGAUUUAUUGGGCGUAAAGGGCUCGUAGGCGGUUUGUCGCGUCGGGAGUGAAAACCCAGGGCUUAACCCUGGGCUGGCUUCCGAUACUGGCAGACUAGAGGUAUGCAGGGGAGAACGGAAUUCCUGGUGUAGCGGUGAAAUGCGCAGAUAUCAGGAGGAACACCGGUGGCGAAGGCGGUUCUCUGGGCAUUACCUGACGCUGAGGAGCGAAAGUGUGGGGAGCGAACAGG